UGUAACCAUGUGAUUGGCUAACUUUCUAUUUUGGUUCACAUGCAACUGAAUAGGUGCACCUAAUAAAGAGGCAAGUGAGUGCAAAAUAAAAUAAAAAUAGAAGGUUCAUUUUAAAACAGCUGGAAUCUCAUUGUGGGCUUUUACCGAUUCAGUGCCAGGAAGGAAUUUGAAGAGAAGAACUCGGCAUCCGGUUGGAGUUAGCAUGUUGUUUCUGUUUUGUGUUACAUCUGCGGUCUGAUCCAGGACUGAGGGUUCAUUGUAAAUUGGAGCCCAAAGCCGACAGAGUGGUGGACUGCAAGAUUCAUGUCUCUUGGAUAACAUAGAGGUGAUUCAAGCCCAGAAAUGUAUCGUCACGGUUCAGAUGAUCUCUCUGUGAUCCUAACCGCUGACCCAGAAGAACGCAACACUGAAAAACACCAGGGCUGCUCUAGUCAAGAGGAUGAAACCGUUCCAUCAGCGAGUGGCGCCUCUGCUGUCACUGGCAUCAGACAGCUCUCGAGAAGGCCGUAAUUAAACAACUCGAGCUCUGGUAA